rnacentral:misc_RNA from 1 species
CUCUGAUGGUUUGUAAACAUUGAGCAAAAUUCUUUUGAUGUCCCAAGUAAUUUCAGGAAACGUUACUCUACUAAAUCAUGUUAAGUGUAUGGAGAGGGUGCAGUUUUUCAAGUACCUUCACAUCAACUCUGACAUCAGCCAGAAGUAUAAGGACAUAGCUGGUGGAGCUGCAUGUGGAUUCACUUGUGCAAAUAUAGAUCUCAGGAGUUUGAUAGGUUUCAAGUGACAUGGUAAGACAUCAGAAACAACCAUCAAAACUUAAUGUAAAUCCCCAAGAGAUGAGACACACAGUUAACAGCAGCUACUGAAAAUGUCAGGUCUUCACUCGAUUACAGAGGUCACAGAAAUGACUUCUCAGACAAAGCCAGUGCAGUCAGCAAGAGCAGAUCUUCCAAUAGUGGUGAGCGAAGGUGUUUAUGGUGACCCACUUGGUGGUGAUCAACAGUGCUUUGUUCUUGUGGAUGAGAGGACUGUGGGUGUUAUGCCUGGUGUUUCGACAGUACAGAGUCUGCUCUCAGACCAAGAGGCUGUCAUGGGUGUUGGCAAUGACAAAUCUGUUCAAGUGAUGCAGGUUGAGAACAAUAAAACGUUAGAGAUGGUGAACAUGCGCGACAAGGAGACUGUCGAAAUGAUGCACAUGCGUGAUGGAAGCACAGUGGAAGUACUGCAGAUGGAAGAUGGCAAAACAGUUGAGGUUGUCCAGAUGGAUGGAGGCAAGACGUUGGAAGUUAUGCAUAUUGACAGUAGUAAGCAUCCUGAAGUAAUCCAUGUUGAUGGCAGCAGUGGGAUUGAAGUGUUGAAUGUUAAUGAUUCACUUAAAGGACCAAUUGUAACAAGUGCCUCAUCAACUGUGUUUGGUCAAAGAAAUACCAAGUGCAUUUUUUCUAGUGAGGGGUCAGAGAAUAUAGCGCCUGUAGCAGUCAAGAGAGUCAUCACUUCGCAAGGGAACCAAGACAAUACCAGUCUCAGUCUCAGAUCACUAGCAACAGUCAACCCUUCCAUUGUUUUGUCGACGGCAAAAAGUAAUAUAUUACCUUCCCAAGAGUAUCCCAGAAUAACAUCUAAUACACCCCUAAACAGCAGAAGAGAAUCACAGGUUAUCAGAACACAUGAGUUGCAGACCAUCACUCAUGUUAAUUCAAACAUUGUUCUGUCAGGUAGUAAAGAAGUUUUUUCUGGUAAUGUUGAUGAUUUAAACAACACCAUCAUAAUUUCAUGGCCCACAAUACCAACCGAACCAGAAAACACAAUUGCAACACAGACUGAACCGGUUCACGAUAUAGGACCAAGUAUGAACCUUUUUUUCUGCACCUUUUAUCAAGAUGGAAGUGUUCAGACACAGUGUGACAUGCCAGAACAGCAGCAUGUGGGCAUUUCUACUGUUAUUAGUGGCAACUGCAGAGGACAGAAAAAUAGAGCACCAGGAAACCAUUCCAGGGAUGAUGGAGGGAUAUCAUUGAAGAUGGAUAAUCUGAGGGGAUGUGACUCUGAAUCAGGUGAUCCCCAGUACUCAAGAAGUGGCAGAGUUUUGAAGCGGAAAGAGGUAGCCCUGAAGGCAGAGCCAGAUGAUGAGGUGGGGGAUCCUAAUUUUGAGCUCCUUGGGGACGAGGAAGGGGAGGAAGAUUCAGGGAGACAAAAUGCAGGAGAAAACAGUGUAUUGAGGAAGAAGAGAGGGAGGAAGAAGAAACGGAGGUUACAGUCAACUGAGGAUUUUGAAGAUGAGUUUACCAUUCCUGCAAAUAAGGAAGAUGUGAAAGAGGUAGCUGUCAAAGAGGAACCAGUCGAAGUAGAUGACAACGAAUUAGCUUUGGAAAUAUUAAAGACAAAGGGUUAUGGCCUAAGAACCAAGAGACGGCCAAAGAAGCUUAGUGAUAUGCACUACAUAGAGGAGAAGGUGGUGAAGAAGAGAAUUGACAGAAACCAAGAGUUUUCCUGCCAGAUAUGUUCCCAGGUCUUCCCCACAUUCACAAGACUACAGCGCCAUGCCAAAGAAGAGCACAACUCAUCCGAAUUUUCCUUUCCAUGUGAUCUGUGUGGUGUUGUAUUCACAAGGCCACAGAAUCUGGAACGGCACAAGGAUACGAAGCAUGGUGAUGGGGAGAGGCGGUUUGUGUGUGAACACUGUGGCAGGAGAUUUGCUCGUCAUGAUGUGAUGACAGUCCACAUUUCAAUGGUUCAUAUUAAGAAGACUUUGCAGGGUAAGAAAGGACCUGUGGUUAUUGGACCAAACACCUUCCAUUGCACAAGUUGUGAUAAAUUUUUUUCCAAGGAGCAGAAAUUAAGAGAUCAUAAACAAGGUGACUUAACGUGUAGUGAUUGCUCAAUAUCUUUUGAAUGUAAAACUUCCCUAAGAGUCCAUCGUUAUAAGCAUCAUCCAACAGCAUGUAGUGAAUGUGGGAAAGUUUGUGACAGUAAACAACAAAUGUACUUCCAUAGAUUGUCUCAUGAUCCAAAGUUUGUUUGUAAAUAUUGUAAAAAAGGAUUUAUUUGGAAAUCUCAGUACACUGUCCAUUUAGCAACACACACAGGAGAGAAACCAGUUGUCUGUGAUUUAUGUGGGAAGGCAUUUGCUCACAAGCUUGCUGUUAGCAAGCAUAAAUGGCAGGAACACAAUGAGAGUAAUAAGAAAUUCAAGUGUCAGACAUGUGGGAAGUCUUUUGUAUAUAAAGCUAAGCUGCAAUCCCACAUUCGUAGCCAUACAGGGGAAAAACCAUUCAUGUGUCAUCUUUGCCCUUCCUCAUUCUCACAGCGUUGCAACUUGACUGCACAUAUAAAGAGUGUUCAUGGUGUGUACAUUCAGUCCAUUAAAAGUGAUGGUACAACUCACACGCAGUUGGUUAAAUACAAACGAGCUAAAAAGACAGCACCUGUAGAAGCCCCUCCAGCUGUUGUUAACACUGUAGUGACACCUUCUGUUGAUGCCCCCAUGCCUGAUCAACCCCAAGUAGCUAUUCAGGAGGAAAUGCCAGAAUCUUUUGAGACAGAGGCAGCAGUAUAUCAGAUUGUUUAUGCAUAUCCAUAGAAACAGGUGUGACAAAAUAGAAUAUGCAAUUUUCAUGUGAGUCAAAAAAAAUUGAAAAUGUAUAGACACUACUGUCUUUAAAUUAAAGUAUUGUUUUAAUACAUGUAUAGAUAUAUGAGUUAUGAUGUCAUUCAUACUGAAUGGAUGGUAUUUACAACUUGGAAAAAAGUCCUGCAUGUUUUUAAUUGCCUAAAGAAAUUUAUGUCAAUGUUCAUGAUCAUUUAGGGAUAUGCAAAUAAGAAAUUAGAAUUAUUAUUAACAAAUGGGAAAUUAAAGUUCAAUUUGACAUAAUGAUUUCACAAUUCCUUUUAUAAUUUAUUUUUUUUCUCCAAUCUGUAAGGUUGUCACUUUUAGACAAUACCUGUAUUGUAUUGUCUAAAACUUAAAUGAGAGAAAAGAAGUUAACAUGUUUAAUGUAACCAGUAAAUUUAUAUGGAUAAUUAUUUGCCCCAAAAUGAAUCUAUGUCCAUUUUACCAAGGUUGUAUCUGUCCGUUAUGUAUGGGUCUGAAGAUAUCAUAAUUUUCCAUGCAUUUGAUUGAAAUUGUACCAAAGUUAUUUUGUACACAAUUUUGAUAUGAAUUAUUUAUUUUGUCUAUAUCUUUGUCCCCUGUUACUCAAUUAUCUGAAAUCUAGGUCUUAAAUGUUACUUGAAUAAUUACUAGCACUCUGUUAAAUUGUCUUCCAAAGGAUUACGUCUUUCCUAUUCAGUUUUUGAAUCCUCACUUAUGGUUUUUAUUUUCAGUAAUUGUAAUGUACAAAAACAUAUUUAUCAAAAGAGCAAUAUACAAACUCUUACAUU